ACUAUUUCUGGCAGUCUCAGGGAGUCCUUCUGCCGAAGAUAGCUCUCCACCUGCCCGUGACUUCUAACAAGCUCCUAAGCUAAAAAGCUUUAGGUCAAGCCUAUGCAGUCACUUGAACUUAGUAACCGGACACACAGCACCACACCCAAGUGUUGAAUAAAAGCUCUUCUCCGGCUGGCUGUGUGAACUCCAUGAACUGGUUCAUGACUGUGGCUCUCAGUUUGCUCAUCUGUGUAAAACGAGUGGGCUGGACGAGAUGAGAUCAGAGGGUUUUAUUUCCCAGCUAUUGAUGCUUAGUCAUUGCGGACCGAGAUGAGCCCUCCAAGUUCCACUGUCCUCCUCUGUGUAAUUGGAGAUGCUCCCUGCACCUAUGUGGAGCCGUGUAAAACAGCUGCCAUGUGCUAAGCUACAGAAGACACCUAAAGGAUGCUAUCGUACUAUUCAGUUAAAAGUCCAUGUUUGUAUGUGGGCAUUGCAUCACGGGACCCCAAGCCGCCUGACUGCUGCUUCUCCCAGGUGCCCCCCACUGCCUUCCUCCUGCCCAGCCACAGCACAGAGCUUCAGCUCACUCAUGCACGAGCCACAGUGUGGAGCUUCCUUCUUGAACUGCGGUGGCUUCCAUGCUUGUCAGGCUCGAGGAACUAAGCAGCGCCACAGCUCUGCAGGGCUGCCCCGUGCGCGCUGUUCCAUUUGGGCCUCUUCUCAGGCUGACAGUCACCUGCCAUUCCCCCCCUUUGAUCCACGAGUGCUCAAGUUUCUGAGCUAUUCCCCCUUCAUGACGGAUUUUGCUGGGCCCCUGCCUGUCUGCUCCUGCCUGAAAUCUGACUAGAUCUCAGGAAUUCUGCCAGAGCCCGGGAGUUAUCUGGAUGUCUGGGAUUCCCCCUCUUUGGUAGUUUCAUUUUGAGUGGAAUAUAAGGCUAGAAAGACAAUUUACAGAAAGUGUGUCUUAAAAAGAAGUGAAGAAUGUUGAAUUAUAAAUCAGGGAUGAUCCUUCUAAC